AGAAAAAAGCUGAAGAGCUUGCUCUGGAGUUCAAAAUGGUGAAAGAUGUUCUGAAAUCAAGUCUUUCUAUAAACUUAAGCCAUAAGGAUGACAAGGGCUAGCAGAUAUUUGGACCUCUAGAUAUUUUAUUAAUUCCAGAUUUGAAACAGCUAUAUCAGAAAAUCUUAUUAUUAAAAACCAGAUCAGACAAGGCUAUAAGAAAAUUAGUCAGAAUUAUAUCUAUAAAAAUCAGAUCAUUGUCAAAGCUAUAUCAUAUUUUGUCUUCCUGGAACAUUGAACAGGGAAAAACUUCGAAAUUUUAAUCUAAUUUGAUUUUUUCUACCAAACUCUGAAAAGCGUUUAACUAAUAAUUUAACCGAAUUCGUAUCAAAUAUUUAUUUGAAUCCAGCUAGAAUUUUUUCCCGCUUUUUUAAUUUGAAGAUAUCCUUGUUUUUUUUUUCAUCUGAAAAUUUACAGUUGUGAUUUCCCUAUGUAAGCGACUUGCGGGUUUUUGCAACAGAGACAAAAAGUUACUUCACCGAAUUCAGCACUUUUUAGGA